rnacentral:misc_RNA from 1 species
CCGAGUUUACAACUCCCAAACCCCUGUGAACAUACCACUUGUUGCCUCGGCGGAUCAGACCGCUCCCGGUAACAACGGGCCGCCCCCGCCAGAGGACCCCUAAACUCUGUUUUAUAUGUAAUUUCUGAGUAAAACAUCAAAUAAAUCA